rnacentral:rRNA from 1 species
UGGGGGAUAUUGCACAAUGGGGGAAACCCUGAUGCAGCAAUGCCGCGUGAGGGAAGAAGGCCUUCGGGUUGUAAACCUAAGUUGUCAGGGACGAACUAUGACGGUACCUGAAGAGAAAGCUCCGGCUAACUACGUGCCAGCAGCCGCGGUAAUACGUAGGGAGCGAGCGUUGUCCGGAUUUACUGGGUGUAAAGGGUGCGUAGGCGGGUUUGCAAGUCAGACGUGAAAUGCCGGGGCUUAACUCCGGAGCUGCGUUUGAAACUGUAGAUCUUGAGUGAAGUAGAGGCAGGCGGAAUUCCUAGUGUAGCGGUGAAAUGCGUAGAUAUUAGGAGGAACACCAGUGGCGAAGGCGGCCUGCUGGGCUUUAACUGACGCUGAGGCACGAAAGCAUGGGGAGCAAACAGG